UGGGACUCUGAGUUUUUCAUCUGGGAAGGG
rnacentral:piRNA from 1 species